GACUUUAACAGGAGAUCCUAGACUGAGGCUUUGAUGAGGUUAGCUUUAAGAUGCUAUGCUGUGUUCAGGGCAUGUCAGGACCAUGUAUGUAGGUGAAGAUGUCCAGUAGGGUUGGAAGGACCUACAGUUCUGGGUUGCAGGAGAGAAUAUGGGGCUCGAAAUUCAGGUUUAGUCAUCCUCAGUGUCCUUUGGUUGUGGAUGUCAAGGGAAUAGAUGGAAGAGUCAGUGAGUAAAAAGAGGUCAUGCAAGAGAAGUAUCGCUAACAUGUAAGGUCUGUGUGAAAAAAGAUGAUAUGGCAAAGCACCUAGAGUUAGGAGGAGAAUCAUAAGAACACAAAAGGAUUAGAAAAACAAGAAACUUGUGUUGUCCCAUAAUGUUGCUUAGAAAUUAGAACAAAAUUGUGACAAAAAAAAAUCAACCAUAAUUUUGAAUAUGCUUAUUCAGACUACAUAGGAGCCACUUGUUCAUUUUCUUUGUGAAAUAAAGACAUGUGGCCUUAGUACUCAUUGGCCUGAAUGAAUAAAUAGAGACCGUGGUUGGUUGAAUAAAUAUGUAUUUACGGGGUUGUAAGACUGCCGCUUUGAAAGAACUGAGGCGUGGUGGUGAAGAGAGUAAUUUAGAAUUCUGGGGGUAGGGGACAUAAGGUUUUAAAUUAACUAUAAAAGCAGACUGGAUCUCUACAUGAAUUCAUAGACUGAAAUACCUUCUAAGAGGGUCCAAGGUUUACAGGCUAAAUAAAAUUAUAAGGUAUUGGAAGGAAACAGGGUGAUUUAAAAAAUUUGGUGUGGGGAAAAUCUAAAUGUAACAGAAAGACCAUCAUUCAUUAAGGAAAAUAUUGGUGGACUUAAAUG